UACGGAGGGUGCAAGCGUUAUCCGGAUUUACUGGGUUUAAAGGGUGCGUAGGCGGACAGGUAAGUCCGUGGUGAAAUCUCUGAGCUUAACUCAGAAACUGCCAUGGAUACUAUUUGUCUUGAAUACUGUGGAGGUAAGCAGAAUAUGUCAUGUAGCGGUGAAAUGCUUAGAUAUGACAUGGAACACCAAUUGCGAAGGCAGCUUACUACACAGUUAUUGACGCUGAGGCACGAAAGCGUGGGGAUCAAACAGG
rnacentral:rRNA from 1 species